rnacentral:lncRNA from 1 species
CCUAACUGUCCCAACUUCAAAUCUGUUAGACAUCACUAUAGGAGAUAAGGGAGGGAAAUUAAUGAUGUUAAAGACUGGGGAGUCUUGUAUAGCAACCUGCUUCUGUUUGUUCCCAAUUUCAGCUGCAGCACUUUAUCUCCUUUGGCAACUCUGGUCGCUGGAUUUGAGCUAUCUGGUUAUUAGGUUCCACUGUGACUGGUGCUUUCACUCUCCAUUCCUGUGUCACCUUGUUUUUCUGUGUUGGUUGAGCAGAUUUAGCCAAACAGUUGUGUCCAACCUCCAAACAUUUCUCACAAUACACAGGUUUCCAAUCAUACAUCACAUCCUGCAUGAAGCUCUUUCCAUUUGGGUCCAGAAUCUCUAUCUCACUAUGUAGCUUUUUCGACACAUUUACCUCAAUGAGCAUACGAGCAUAUGAAAUUCUGGAUUGCUUAGUAUUCACUAGGUAGCUUUUUCGACAC